rnacentral:rRNA from 1 species
ACCCUUUAAUGUUUGAUGUUCUAACGUGGACCCGUAAUCCGGGUUGCGGACAGUGUCUGGUGGGUAGUUUGACUGGGGCGGUCUCCUCCUAAAGAGUAACGGAGGAGCACGAAGGUUGGCUAAUCCUGGUCGGACAUCAGGAGGUUAGUGCAAUGGCAUAAGCCAGCUUGACUGCGAGCGUGACGGCGCGAGCAGGUGCGAAAGCAGGUCAUAGUGAUCCGGUGGUUCUGAAUGGAAGGGCCAUCGCUCAACGGAUAAAAGGUACUCCGGGGAUAACAGGCUGAUACCGCCCAAGAGUUCAUAUCGACGGCGGUGUUUGGCACCUCGAUGUCGGCUCAUCACAUCCUGGGGCUGAAGUAGGUCCCAAGGGUAUGGCUGUUCGCCAUUUAAAGUGGUACGCGAGCUGGGUUUAGAACGUCGUGAGACAGUUCGGUCCCUAUCUGCCGUGGGCGCUGGAGAACUGAGGGGGGCUGCUCCUAGUACGAGAGGACCGGAGUGGACGCAUCACUGGUGUUCGGGUUGUCAUGCCAAUGGCACUGCCCGGUAGCUACAUGCGGAAGAGAUAAGUGCUGAAAGCAUCUAAGCACGAAACUUGCCCCGAGAU